CCGAAGCCGGUGAGGUUCGGCAGGAUGGCGUUGCGGGCGGCGUAGCGGAUCGCGAUCGUGCGGCCGUGCAGCCCGUUCGCCUCGGC
rnacentral:tRNA from 1 species